rnacentral:ribozyme from 13 species
CAUCUUGUAAUAUCAGCUAUGCUGGGAUAAAUAUAUAAACUAGAGCGAUAAAAAGAGGGGGAAAUGGCAAUUUUAGUUCCUACUGUGUUUCCAUAGCCUCCGCUUCUUCAUCUUUUCCUUCUUCGUCCUCGUCGUC